rnacentral:rRNA from 1 species
GUAAUAUAUCGGAACGUAUCCAAUAAUGGGGGAUAACUAAUCGAAAGGUUGGCUAAUACCGCAUACGCCCUACGGGGGAAAGCAGGGGAUCUUCGGACCUUGCGUUAAUGGAGCGGCUGAUAUCUGAUUAGCUAGUAGGUGAGGUAAAGGCUCACCUAGGCUUCGAUCAGUAGCUGGUCUGAGAGGACGACCAGCCACACUGGAACUGAGACACGGUCCAGACUCCUACGGGAGGCAGCAGUGGGGAAUUUUGGACAAUGGGCGCAAGCCUGAUCCAGCCAUUCCGCGUGAGUGAAGAAGGCCUUCGGGUUGUAAAGCUCUUUCGCAAGGGAAGAAACGUGACGAGCGAAUAACUCGUCAUAAUGACGGUACCUUGAUAAGAAGCACCGGCUAACUACGUGCCAGCAGCCGCGGUAAUACGUAGGGUGCGAGCGUUAAUCGGAAUUACUGGGCGUAAAGCGUGCGCAGGCGGUUUUGUAAGUCAGAUGUGAAAUCCCCGAGCUCAACUUGGGAACUGCGUUUGAAACUACAAGGCUAGAGUAUGGUAGAGGGGGGUAGAAUUCCACGUGUAGCAGUGAAAUGCGUAGAGAUGUGGAGGAAUACCAAUGGCGAAGGCAGCCCCCUGGACUAAUACUGACGCUCAUGCACGAAAGCGUGGGGAGCAAACAGGAUUAGAUACCCUGGUAGUCCACGCCCUAAACGAUGUCUACUAGUUGUUGGGAGAGUAAAAUCUCUUAGUAACGCAGCUAACGCGUGAAGUAACCGCCUGGGGAGUACGGUCGCAAGAUUAAAACUCAAAGGAAUUGACGGGGGCCCGCACAAGCGGUGGAUUAUGUGGAUUAAUUCGAUGCAACGCGAAAAACCUUUCCCUGGCCU